rnacentral:tRNA from 1 species
GCCUGGCUGGCUCAGUUGGUAGAGUGUGUGACUCUUGAUCUUGAGGUUAUAGGUUUGAGCCCCAUGUUGGGCU